rnacentral:rRNA from 1 species
AGUGAACGCUGGCGGCAGGCCUAACACAUGCAAGUCGAACGGCAGCACAGCACAGCUUGCUCACGAGGUGGCGACGGGCGAACGGGUCAGGAAUACAUCGCAAGCCGCCCAGUCUAGGGGGAUAACAUAGUAAAACAUACCCUAAUACCUCAUACGACCUUCGGGUGAAAGAGUGGGAUCGCAAGACCUCUCUCGAGUCGAUGACCCGAUGUCUGAUUAGCUAGUUAGCGGGGUAAUGACCCACCAAGGCGACGAUCCGUAGCUGGUCUGAGAGGACGAUCAGCCACACUGGAACUGAGACACGGUCCAGACUCCUACGGGAGGCAGCAGUGGGGAAUAUUGGACAAUGGGCGCAAGCCUGAUCCAGCAAUGCCGCGUGGAUGAAGAAGGCCUUCGGGUUGUAAAGACCUUUUGUUGGGAACGAAACGUUUCAGGCUAAUACCCUGGGAGGAUGACGGUACCGAAAGAAUAAGCACCGGCUAACUACGUG